UGACUUUUGUGAGACAAAAUUGACUUUUGUGAGACAAAAUUCAAUUUUGUCAAUUUUGUCUCAAAAGUCAAUUUUGUCUCACAAAAGUC
rnacentral:sRNA from 1 species